AAAGAAGACACUGCACAUGCGCAGAACGUUUCCCUAGCCCUACUCCAGAACUACGCUUCCCAGAAGGCCCGGCUGCGACUCCAUCUUGGAUGACGCCGUGAGGCGCGGCCGCCUCCAGCGGCCUGAGUGAUUGCUGUCGGGUUUCCGGGAGAGGGCGCUGUCCUUGCUCAGUGAUGGCCGGAGAGCUGCACCCUGCACGUCUGGGCUUGAAGACAGAAAGCCACCGUGAGGUGCUCCAAGGAACACUGAUGGGCAGUUUUGUUAAAGUGAUUGAACUCCGUGGGUACAGGAGUACGUGGAGUAAUGAAGGAUAAUGCCCUGUAACCGCUUCCUCUUAGGAAUGCUAGCUUUCACAAUUGUGCAAACGAUGGAGAAAAGAACAAAACGUUACAUUAUUGAAUAAACAUUAAACCAGACUGCGAUGUGCGUCACAGGCAACCCACUAAUGAGUUUAUGAAGACAGGAAGAACUAUCAUUUUUUGUAUUAGCCGGUCUUGUACAACGCAUUCCAUUUCCUCAAGCAUAAGGAAUAAAACUGUUCUUUUGAAAUGAAGAAGAGAACCACCUAGGAGACUAUCACCCUGACCUGAGGACUUCACUAGGGAUUCAGGAAAGAAGACACAGAAAGAAAGCAAUCCUCAAGGUGUUAUAUCUGAAUAGUUUAAUUUUACUUAAAAAUGUUUUUAUUGAAGUAUAAAAAAUAUAAAAGUA